rnacentral:tRNA from 1 species
CUCGGUGUGGCGCAGUAGGCAGCGCGGGUGAUUUGGGAUCACGAGGGUCAUCGGCGGGCGGAGGAGCCGAUGACGGUUCGAGACCUGCCACCGAGACCA